UGGAACUUGAAUAGGCUAUGCAGUAAAACAUCCUUUUUGGAACAGAUGUCUCAUUGUGGGAUUGAAUAACAACUACCCGUCAGAGCUAAUAGUGGGCUAGUCAUGAGCUAACGAAAUAAACGCGAACCCAUUCGUCAGCCAGGAGCAAAUCAGAUUGUCGAGAGAAUUAAUCGCCGUUCAACGAGCAUCAGUAAAGCAGCAAAAGAAAAUGUUCCAGAAAUUUCUACUAUUUGCCUCCAUCUUUGCGAUGAUGAUCAUCACCGCUCAAUCUUCGCCAGCUGAUGAAACGGAAAACUUAGUGCGACAGGAUCAGUUCUUUAUCUGUAGAGGAGGCUCCUCUUGCACGAGCAGUACAACAUGUUCCAUUUACAUUUUCUUCAGAACUUGUCGCAACGGCCAAUGCUGCACGCGUUAAAAUGAUCAUCCACUUCCAAACAAUACGACAUAAGGAUUUAAACAACUAAUCACCAACAUUAGUUUUGUUUUUAUUUGUUUCUUUUUACAGUUUUGUUUCAGUUCUUUUCUGCUCUUAUUAAUCUCUUACAAUGCAUUUUCAUAAAAAAUUGGGUUGAAAGCAUUAAACUUAUAAACCACA